GGGACAAUAGUCUAGUAGCGAUAACUAGACCGCUACUGUUAGUAGCGGUCCUAGGCGCUAGUUCGAAUCUAGCUUGUUCCA
rnacentral:tRNA from 1 species